UUUCUGCUCUCUACAUAACAGCUUCUCUGAAUGUCAUAGCCUUGCUGGCAGAUCUCUGCACCCUAGUGUUGGGUUCUCCAGUGGGCUGGCAGGUGACAUUGAUCAACUCGUGGUUGUACAGUCAAAGGUACUUGAGUCAUUGGCAUUUUAAAGUAAUAGAACUGCACAGUAGCCGCUCAGUUCUGAUGUGAACAAUCUGUUACGCCAGUCUGUUGCUGCCGUCAGGACUUUGCUGCUGUGUGGACACG